rnacentral:tRNA from 1 species
GGUUCCGUAGCUCAGCUGGAUAGAGCAACUGCCUUCUAAGCAGUAGGUCAAGCGUUCGAUGAUUAUUAUGCUUUUUUAAACAAUAUGGUAUCAUUCGUAACCA